ncrna:unclassified sequences L31-Actinobacteria ribosomal protein leader
GCGGUACCGGUUCCCGUCCUUCGGGGACGACCCGGCGACC